UGGAAUUAAAGAAACUGCAUUAGUUUAUAUGUGUCAGGUCUGCCCUUAUACAAUAGAUAAUAAUAUAUUGUAUUGAUCAUAGAUUCUGCUUUAAACUUCAGUUUCUCUUGAAGCCCCUCUACAUCUUUGUUUUGUUGGGUUUAGUAAAUGCAUGCAUUGUGUUUCUUUUGCUGCAGAAAUUCAAUACAAAAAAUGAAUGAGUCAUCUCAGAGUUUAGCUUUAUAGAAUGUGGGGAUUAUGAGAAAAAGGAGGCAGA